rnacentral:rRNA from 1 species
UACGUAGGUGGCGAGCGUUGUCCGGAUUUACUGGGCGUAAAGAGCGCGCAGGCGGUCGUACAAGUCGCGUGUGAAAGCCCCCGGCUCAACUGGGGAGGGUCACGCGAUACUGUUCGACUCGAAGGCAGGAGAGGGAAGUGGAAUUCCCGGUGUAGUGGUGAAAUGCGUAGAUAUCGGGAGGAACACCAGUGGCGAAGGCGACUCGCUGGACAGACAUUGACGCUGAGGUGCGAAAGCGUGGGGAGCAAACAGG